CUCGUAGGCGGCCAACUAAGUCAGACGUGAAAUCCCCAGGCUCAACCUGGGAACUGCGUCUGAUACUGGAUGGCUUGAAUUCGGGAGAGGGAUGCAGAAUUCCAGGUGUAGCGGUGAAAUGCGUAGAUAUCUGGAGGAAUACCGGUGGCGAAGGCGGCAUCCUGGACCGACAUUGACGCUGAUGAGCGAAAGCUAGGGGAGCAAACGG
rnacentral:rRNA from 1 species